rnacentral:hammerhead_ribozyme from 2 species
UUGCGAAACCGCCCUGACCAUAUUCCUGACGCCGGGAAAAUGGUCAGAGACGGUCUGCCGGGCGUGGCGGCUCGGCACUGAUGAGCAGCCUGUC